AACAGAGGCGCGGUAUUCAUCAGUAAGUUUCGGCAAGGCAGGCAGCCGUCGGAACGGAAAGGGACCACCGCCGAAGCGUUGCUUCCUGCCUGAGGAGCAGCGCUGGGGUCACGGAGAAUAUCCGUGACACUGUCACAAGCAAUUGUGGAGAGCUGUCG
rnacentral:ncRNA from 1 species